rnacentral:rRNA from 1 species
UACGGAGGGUGCGAGCGUUGUCCGGAAUCACUGGGCGUAAAGGGUGCGUAGGCGGGUCUUUAAGUCAGGGGUGAAAUCCUGGAGCUCAACUCCAGAACUGCCUUUGAUACUGGUGAGCUUGAGUCCGGAAGAGGUGAGUGGAACUGCGAGUGUAGAGGUGAAAUUCGUAGAUAUUCGCAAGAACACCAGUGGCGAAGGCGGCUCACUGGUCCGGUACUGACGCUGAGGUGCGAAAGCGUGGGGAGCAAACAGG